rnacentral:rRNA from 1 species
UACGUAGGGGGCUAGCGUUGUCCGGAAUCAUUGGGCGUAAAGCGCGUGUAGGCGGUCCGGUAAGUCCGCUGUGAAAGUCGGGGGCUCAACCCUCGGAUGCCGGUGGAUACUGUCGGACUAGAGUGCGGGAGAGGCGAGUGGAAUUCCUGGUGUAGCGGUGAAAUGCGCAGAUAUCAAGAGGAACACCUGAGGUGAAGACGGGUUGCUGGGCCGACACUGACGCUGAGUGCGCGAAAGCCAGGGGAGCAAACGGG